rnacentral:rRNA from 1 species
UACGGAGGGUGCGAGCGUUAAUCGGAAUAACUGGGCGUAAAGCGCACGCAGGCGGUCUGUCAAGUCGGAUGUGAAAUCCCCGGGCUCAACCUGGGAACUGCAUUCGAAACUGGCAGGCUGGAGUGUUGUAGAGGGGGGGGGAAGUCCAGGUGUAGCGGUGAAAUGCGUAGAGAUCUGGAGGAAUACCGGUGGCGAAGGCGGCCCCCUGGACCAAGACUGACGCUCAGGUGCGAAAGCGUGGGGAGCAAACAGG